CUGGGUGUGGCGCAGUUUGGUAGCGCGCUAGAAUGGGGUUCUAGAGGUCGGGGGUUCAAGUCCCCCCACUCAGACCA
rnacentral:tRNA from 2 species